rnacentral:rRNA from 1 species
CCUACGGGAGGCUGCAGUGAGGAAUAUUGGUCAAUGGGCGCGAGCCUGAACCAGCCAAGUCGCGUGAGGGAAGACGGUCCUAUGGGUUGUAAACCUCUUUUGUCGGGGAGCAAAAGACUCCACGCGUGGCGUUCCGUGAGUACCCGAAGAAUAAGCAUCGGCUAACUCCGUGCCAGCAGCCGCGGUAAUACGGAGGAUGCGAGCGUUAUCCGGAUUUAUUGGGUUUAAAGGGUGCGCAGUCGGAAGGUCAAGUCAGCGGUAAAAUUGAGGGGCUCAACCUCAUCGAGCCGUUGAAACUGGUUGUCUUGAGUGAGUGAGAAGUAUGCGGAAGGCGUGGUGUAGCGGUGAAAUGCAUAGAUAUCACGAAGAACUCCGAUUGCGAAGGCAGCAUACCGGCGCUCAACUGACGCUCAUGCACGAAAGUGUGGGUAUCGAACAGGAUUAGAUACCCCAGUAGUC